rnacentral:rRNA from 1 species
GACGAACGCUGGCGGCGUGCUUAACACAUGCAAGUCGAGCGGUAAGGCCCUUUCGGAGGUACACGAGCGGCGAACGGGUGAGUAACACGUGGGUGACCUGCCCUCAGCUCUGGGAUAAGCCUGGGAAACCGGGUCUAAUACUGGAUAUGACUCCAUGACGCAUGUUGUGGGGUGGAAAGCCUUGUGCGGCUGAGGAUGGGCCCGCGGCCUAUCAGCUUGUUGGUGGGGUGAUGGCCUACCAAGGCGACGACGGGUAGCCGGCCUGAGAGGGCGACCGGCCACACUGGGACUGAGACACGGCCCAGACUCCUACGGGAGGCAGCAGUGGGGAAUCUUGCGCAAUGGGCGAAAGCCUGACGCAGCGACGCCGCGUGAGGGAUGACGGCCU